rnacentral:rRNA from 1 species
UCGAGAAUUUUUCGCAAUGGGGGAAACCCUGACGGAGCGACGCCGCGUGGAGGAUGAAGGUCUUCGGAUUGUAAACUCCUGUCAUUGGUGAACAAGACGUUCGCGUUAACUGCGCGGACGGUUGCUAGUAGCCGAAGAGGAAGGGACGGCUAACUCUGUGCCAGCAGCCGCGGUAAUACAGAGGUCCCGAGCGUUGUUCGGAUUCAUUGGGCGUAAAGGGUGCGUAGGCGGUCUGCUAAGUUUGAUGUGAAAUCCCGGGGCUCAACCCUGGCAUGGCAUUGAAUACUGGUGGACUAGAGUACUGGAGAGGAAACUGGAAUUUACGGUGUAGCAGUGAAAUGCGUAGAGAUCGUAAGGAAGACCAGUGGCGAAGGCGAGUUUCUGGACAGUAACUGACGCUGAGGCACGAAGGCCAGGGGAGCAAACGGGAUUAGAUACCCCCGUAGUCC